UAUACUUUCAUCUUAACAAUUAAUUCAAAAAAUGAAUGGUUAAAAUUCAUUCUCAUCCUACUUAGGCAAAAUAAACUUUUUAUUAUAUAUAUAGGGGUAAGAUCAAAUAAAAAGUUUAUUUUGCCUAAGUAGGAUGAGAAUGAAUCUUAACCAUUUAUUUUUUGAAUUAAUUGUUAAAAUGAAAGUAUA
rnacentral:pre_miRNA from 1 species